GUACAGACUUCUCAGGAUUUUGCCUGCUAUCCCAGACUAACACUUCAGAAGUGCCACCAAGAAAACUUCUCUGCAAAUCUCUUUCUAUUUCAAAACUUCUUAACUGAAUAAUGUGAGUGGCCAGAUACAUUCCUGCCUGUUGAAGCUCACAAUAGAAGAAUGUUCAAAAGGAAAAGGAAAAUAUUUGGAAAGUAUUUUUUUUACUAUCACGCAGACCUGGAAAUUGUAUCAGCUGAGGAGAUACACCAGUUGUUCCUUCAGCUACAUUUUUUGUGCUGGCAACCUGCCCUGCAAUUUCCAGGGACAGCAAACCUGUGAGACAGGUGCACUCACUGUGUGACUGAGGAUGCUCUCCAGCCCUGCCGUGCCAGGGGAGCGGGGCCGUGUGUGGGGUCUGCUGUUUUCUAGUUGGAGUGAUUUUUAUAGCCUGUAUUAUAAGGAAACCCACACGUGAGGAAAGGAAGAAGGAAUUAAAUGGAAAACAAACCACAGGCCCAGCCAUUAAUCCUUCUGGGGAAAGAAGGGCCUGGCCUGGAUUCUUCAGCAUCCAACCCACUGUGGGACACACCAGGUGAAAGUCGUCAACAGUCUGAGCUGAGUCUCUGGUCAGCCAUCGUUCUGGGGGAUCUGCUGCUGCUCUCCCACUGGAGCCUGUUCCUUUGUGCUCUUUCCAUGAGGAGCAGCCAAAAUCAUGAAUUAAACAUUGCUGAUAUUAAAGAGGACUCCUGGCAUCUGCCCCAAAUGGAGAAAUCAACGUGUCAUUCAUUAAAGAUAUCCACACUUGUACAGGGAACACGUGUUUGCCAGAUGGUGCCAGUUCAGGAUUCCCAGAGGGAGCAGGAGAGGUCCAUCCCUGCUGAAUGCCAGAGCCACCCCAGUCCCAGGGUCCCCCAAGGAUCUUCACUCCUCUCCCUGCAGCCUGGCAGAGAUGCCCCUGGGCCUCUCCCAGCUGAAGCUGUGUUGUGACCCCAGACUGCCAAGGAAAGUACAAAAUUGAUGUAUCCUGGGGGAGGGAGGCAGGGGUGUGGGCUGAGAUCUGGUGUCUCAAGACCAUUCUUUAGACAGUGCUGAUCCAGACUGUCUUAUUCCCAGCAUUUUUCAAAUUGUGUUAUUUCCUACAGUUUGCAACUACACACAGUAGUCAGAGGUUAUGACACGUGGCUGACUUUAAAGGACACUGUCUGUAACAAGUGCUAUGUACAUAUUCUAUAAAUGUUGUUAUACCCUGUAUUUUAUAGCUUUAGACUGCAAUAAAUGGGGACAAACUAUGUGCUUGUAGUGUGAA
rnacentral:lncRNA from 1 species